AUAUUUGUUACGUAGAUCUUACUCAUCGAUAUUAGAAAUUUGAUUCAUUUUAAAAUGCGUUAAAAAGUAGUUGGUUCGUCGGUUAAAGAAUUAUCAUUCGAGUUGACAAAACGCAAAACAAAACAAGAAUAAUAAUUAAACAAUGCCAUUGCGGCAACAAGUUGUUAUAUGACUGCAAAUAAUAUCCACUUGAAUGCGAGGCAACACGUGGAUUUCUUGAUUAGUUAUCGUAACUGUAACUGGAAUACACAUGCACACAAAUGUAUGACAGUAUAUCACACACACACACGCACACAUACACAUGUAUUUAUGUGCACACGCACACAUUUUCAGAAUUCGCCUCGAAUUGCCGUAGCUAAAAUUCCAACAGACGCAACAACAACAAGACUUGAGUUCGACGCCGGAGUAAGCCGAGAGCUGAGCGUAAACAAAAGUCGCAAGCUUUUUUUUGCUGAAACGUAGCGAAGCUGGGUGUCACACGAGACCAAAAUGUUGUUGAAAAAAAAAAAAACUGAAGAAAAACAAUCAAAUCAGCAAAAAGUGAAAGAAAACAAAUUAACAAAAACCGGCAAAUUUUUGCGGCAUACGUGACAAUUAAGCAACUCUCAAUGGCGGCUAUGAGAUUGUUUUUUUUUUUUCUUUUUUCUAUGUCUCUGCUGCAGAGAACUGCCGCAGCGCUCUCUCUCCGCUCAGCGGGGGUGAAAGUGCGCGUGCAACACUGUUUGGAAUACAGUCGGCGCUAGGAUAUGCCGCAGCUACAACUGGUUUAUGAAAUUCCAGAAAAGAUUGAACUUGAAUUGAUAAACAUCAUCUGCGAUAAGACAAAUGCGUAGCCAAAGCAAAUUGAUACGAAGAAAAACAAAAUGGCAUAAUCAGCUGAUGGUAAGCAUAACGUAAACGCACACGCCACCACACGUAUGCGAGACACGUUUAAAGGCAAACAUGGCCAAAAAUAUAUAGACACGGUCACAUUCAUAAAAAAA